UGCUGCACCGACCAUCAGCUCCCUCUCUCCUUUCUCCUUUCGCACGCAACAAGCACAGCCACCACCCACCGGCGCCACAGCUGCGGUGUCUAGCCUUUGUGGCCCUUCCAGAUCCUGUUGCCGCACCUCCCUGCCUGCUGCCGCCGCCCCUUUCCCGUCGGCAAACUCAUUCUCUCUCUCUUGGCGGAGAAUUCUCUUUAGGCGACUUCUGAAAGUGUUAAAGUGGCCUAUUAGUUUGUUUACACAAGUCUCUAAGGAUCAAUAAGCGUUGCCCAUCUACAGGUUUGAAGAUGAUGCAUCAUUGGGAUCGGGAUUAGAGAGCUUAUAGUUCUAUUUGUUUAAUUAAGUGAUUUAAUUUGUUAACUUAUAUUUGAAAGUCGUCGUACUAUUCGUAUUUCUUUAUUUCCGUUAAUUGGUUUUGGACUUAAUAUGUAAUCAAUUAUUUAUGAACCUAAAAGUUAGUUUUAUGUUUUCCGCUGCAAAAUUCUGA